GACGAACGCUGGCGGCGUGCCUAACACAUGCAAGUCGAACGGAGAUUUCAGCAAUGGAAUCUUAGUGGCGAACGGGUGAGUAACGCGCAGACAACCUACCUUCUAGAUGGGGACAACACUGCGAAAGUGGUGCUAAUACCGAAUGUUGUAUGUGAGACGCCUGUUUCACAUACUAAAGGUGGCCUCUAUUUAUAAGCUACCACUAGAAGAUGGGUCUGCGUCUGAUUAGCUAGUUGGUGAGGUAAUGGCUCACCAAGGCGACGAUCAGUAGCCAGUCUGAGAGGAUGAACGGCCACACUGGGACUGAGACACGGCCCAGACUCCUACGGGAGGCAGCAGUGGGGAAUCUUCCGCAGUGGACGAAAGUCUGACGGAGCAACGCCGCGUGAGUGAAGAAGGUUUUCGGAUCGUAAAACUCUGUUUUCAGGGACGAAUGUGCAAUAUGUGAAUAAUGUGUUGUAAUGACGGUACCUGACAAGAAAGCCACGGCUAACUACGUGCCAGCCGCCGCAGUAAGAC
rnacentral:rRNA from 1 species